CCCUUGUACACACCGCCCGUCACACCAUGGGAGUUGGUUCUACCCGAAGAUGGUGCGCUAACUUUUGAGGCAACCAGCCACGGUAGGGUCAGCGACUGGGGUG
rnacentral:rRNA from 1 species